UACGUAGGGUGCAAGCGUUGUCCGGAAUUAUUGGGCGUAAAGAGCUCCUAGGCGGUUUGUCGCGUCUGCUGUGAAAACCCGAGGCUCAACCUCGGGCCUGCAGUGGGUACGGGCAGACUAGAGUGCGGUAGGGGAGAUUGGAAUUCCUGGUGUAGCGGUGGAAUGCGCAGAUAUCAGGAGGAACACCAAUGGCGAAGGCAGAUCUCUGGGCCGUAACUGACGCUGAGGAGCGAAAGCAUGGGGAGCGAACAGG
rnacentral:rRNA from 1 species